GUCAGGUUGGCCGAGUGGUCUAAGGCGCCAGGCUCAAGAUCUGGUUCCCCAAAAGGGAGCGUGGGUUCGAAUCCCACACCUGACA